GAUCCUGGCUCAGAAUCAACGCUGGCGGCGCGCUUAACACAUGCAAGUCGCACGAGAAAGUGGAGCAAUCCAUGAGUAAAGUGGCGUACGGGUGAGUAACACGUGGAUGAUCUACCUCUUAGUGGGGAAUAACCAUGGGAAACCGUGGCUAAUACCGCAUAAGCUCUAGCGAGGAAAGCAGCAAUGCGCUGAGAGAGGAGUCCGCGGCCGAUUAGCUAGUUGGCAGGGUAAAAGCCUACCAAGGCAGAGAUCGGUAGCCGGCCUGAGAGGGCACACGGCCACACUGGCACUGAAACACGGGCCAGACUCCUACGGGAGGCAGCAGUGGGGAAUCUUGCACAAUGGGGGCAACCCUGAUGCAGCGACGCCGCGUGAGCGAUGAAGCCCUUCGGGGUGUAAAGCUCUUUCGGCAGGGAAGAUAAUGACGGUACCUGCAGAAGCAGCUGCGGCUAACUACGUGCCAGCAGCCGCGGUAAUACGUAGGCAGCGAGCGUUGUUCGGAGUUACUGGGCGUAAAGGGUGUGUAGGCGGUUGUUUAAGUUUGGUGUGAAAUCUCCCGGCUCAACUGGGAGGGUGCGCCGAAUACUGAAUGACUUCGAGUGCGGGAGAGGAAAGUGGAAUUCCUGGUGUAGCGGUGAAAUGCGUAGAUAUCAGGAGGAACACUGGUGGUGUAGACGGCUUUCUGGACCG
rnacentral:rRNA from 1 species